rnacentral:rRNA from 1 species
GUCACUCUGGAUAUCUAACUUCGGCCCGUGAUCCGGGUCAGGGACAGUGCCUGAUGGGUAGUUUAACUGGGGCGGUUGCCUCCUAAAAUGUAACGGAGGCGCCCAAAGGUUCCCUCAGCCUGGUUGGUAAUCAGGUGUCGAGUGCAAGUGCACAAGGGAGCUUGACUGUGAGAGUGGCAGCUCGAGCAGGGACGAAAGUCGGGACU